AGUUUCCCAAGUGAAUACUGCUAAGUGCGUGGAAGUGUUUUUUAAUCAGUCCUGAUACAUAUCCACGUGCACCGCCGUCGAGAAUGAGGUCAGAAAACUCAAGGUGUACAUACAGCUAUAAACGGCACCAUGAGCCAGGAGAGGCCAGUGUCAUGGACUGCAACCCUGUCUGCAGGGCAGCACAACAGAGGCAUUACAGCAGCAAACCGGCACACUGCCUAAGAAAUGAAGACACUCAAGAAUGAUAUGAUUUCAAUUUCAAAAGAAUUAGACACCCUCCACCCUUUAACUUCAGUAAGACUGUAUCACCUUGAGAAAAUCCAAAACCACAGAGCGCAGAAUAAACCAGCUGGGCAGUUGGGAUCAGAUUUGUAACAGAGACUUCCUGUAUGGGGGAGCCAAUCAAGUUGUCCCAGAGAUAAUUGGAAAAAACCAGCAGCGUACCUGAUGUCUGCCCUGCAUAGUACCACUUUGACAGAAGGAACAAGG